rnacentral:rRNA from 1 species
GAUGAACGCUGACAGAAUGCUUAACACAUGCAAGUCAACUUGAAUUUGGGUUUUUAACUUAGGUUUGGGUGGCGGACGGGUGAGUAACGCGUAAAGAACUUGCCUCACAGCUAGGGACGACAUUUGGAAACGAAUGCUAAUACCUAAUAUUAUGAUAAUAGGGCAUCCUAUAAUUAUGAAAGCUAUAAGCGCUGUGAGAGAGCUUUGCGUCCCAUUAGCUAGUUGGAGAGGUAACGGCUCACCAAGGCGAUGAUGGGUAGCCGGCCUGAGAGGGUGAUCGGCCACAAGGGGACUGAGACACGGCCCUUACUCCUACGGGAGGCAGCAGUGGGGAAUAUUGGACAAUGGACCGAGAGUCUGAUCCAGCAAUUCUGUGUGCACGAUGAAGUUUUUCGGAAUGUAAAGUGCUUUCAGUUGGGAAGAAACAAAUGACGGUACCAACAGAAGAAGUGACGGCUAAAUACGUG